rnacentral:lncRNA from 1 species
UCGGACCACAGCCCGGACGUGUGGCAAACAUCCUCUUAUCGGCCGCUAAAAUCUAAUCUUUAGUAAUCGAAUAGCCCUAGCUAAGUACUCAAAACCGAUUGCAUACUCCCUCGUAUCCAUCUUGCAAUUUGUUUCUCUAGUAGAUGGACUUCGAUUUUUUGACAAAGAAUAUGCAUCGCAAAAUUUCGUUCAAGACAAAUAUUUGUUCAGCCAUGGGGAUUUCAGGUGUUUCGUGUUAGUUGGGUCAGUGUGCUUAAUUAAAUUGGUAAUAUGAUGUGGGGCAGCGAUUUUGCAGCUGUACAUAACUCCAGAUUGCUCUUCAAACAUGUGGCUUGGGAUUUAUUUAUGUCCAGAAACAUUGGUAGAUAUCAAUUUUUUGAUCGUUUAUCGUUAUUUGAAUCGUAAUAGUUGCAAGUUAAUUAUAUCUAAUUUAUCUUCAAUGCCCGUCUGAACAUUAGUAUUUAAAUGUAUCUAAACUGUGAAUAAACUUAGCAAAUUUACUACCGAUUCAUUACGCAUUGGUGAUGAUGGGGGAUUUGGUUAAUCGCCUACCCUCGAGAUUCAACCGCCUGGAAGACCGCGAAUUACCAAAUCAUCCCUUACAGUUGCCACAAGGCAAACACAGGUGGCAAUCCGCCAAAUAGUGUUUGUUUGCUGGAGUAUUGUUCUUGAUUACAACCUGUGCUUUAGUUAAAACACUUGGACAAAUAACGAUUCUGUUUGGACUGUGUCGGUGGUCAUGAACGGAUGAUUACUCAUCGUAUCAAAUAUCGUAUGGGAAACUGUCGUGUAAAAUUCAAUAUGGAUAACCGAUACUCUGUCGAUCGGGUUCAUGAAGAUGACUGCGUAAUCCAACACCAUUAUUAUUUCUCAUGUUAUGAGGAUGGUUAGUGAAAAAUAAUCCGUCGAAUGUUUUCAGGAAGUCCGCAUUAGAGGAUGUGAAACUGAAAAUUACUGUUGGCUUGUUUAACACCGGACUGAUGUGCACAACACGUUUUUUUCACAAAACCGAAAGAAUUCCUCAGUUACGAUACUUAAUUGUAUACCUACACGCCAUACAAUUUUGAUUUACGAAAGAUUUGAAGUAUUCAGUAAGACAGUGUUUGAACUGUUACGUUUAAUUAUAUUGAUUAAGUUACUGCAGGGCUUCACAUUGGCUUUGCUUUGGUGUCAUU